ACCAGACUCCUACGGGAGGCAGCAGUGGGGGAUAUUGCACAAUGGGCGCAAGCCUGAUGCAGCGACGCCGCGUGAGCGAAGAAGUAUCUCGGUAUGUAAAGCCCUGUCAGCAGGGAAGAAAAUGACGGUACCUGAAGAAGAAGCACCGGCUAAAUACGUGCCAGCAGCCGCGGUAAUACGGAGGGUGCGAGCGUUAAUCGGAAUUACUGGGCGUAAAGCGCCCGUAGGCGGUAUGUCAAGUCAAGGGUGAAAUCCCCGCGCUCAACGUGGGAACUGCCUUUGAAACUGGCAAACUGGAGUGUGUGAGAGGAUAGUGGAAUUCCAGGUGUAGGAGUGAAAUCCGUAGAUAUCUGGAGGAACAUCAGUGGCGAAGGCGACUAUCUGGCACAUAACUGACGCUGAGGAGCGAAAGCGUGGGUAGCAAACAGGAUUAGAUACCCCAGUA
rnacentral:rRNA from 1 species